rnacentral:lncRNA from 1 species
UCAUGCAUGAGAUACAUAGUCCCCAAAUUCAAAAUAGGCAAGAUUUUGCUAAACUAUGACACAAGAGGGAUGAUGACAUCAUACAGAACACCCCAAUUGAUCGAUAGAUAUAUCUUGAUACAAGGCAACAAAAAACAGACCCCAUCAAGAACAUACAUAAUCGCUGUGAAUAAUUCUAUGUAAACCCUUGAUUAGCCUUAGGCUUUAGCCAAUCCCUACCUGGGUUUACUUAUCUCACACAGCCCUCAAAAUUAUAGAAAUAAAUUGAAACAAAACACACUUUUUUUUCUCACCAUUUCUUCCAUCCAAAGAAAAAAAAAUGUCUCGGUGAAAGAAAUGGAAAAAAAAUAAUAGACACACAUACAGAUUUAAAGACGAAUAAUAAUAAUAAUAAUAAUAAUAAUAAUAAUAAUAAUAAUAA